rnacentral:rRNA from 1 species
CGCUUAAUUCCGCGCGACCUCCUCCGGCCUCCUCGUCUCGUGACCCGCCCCUGCCGCCCCUGGAGAGAGGGAGGAGAGAGGAGAGGAGAGGGGAGCGAGCGAGCGGUAGUCUCACCACCACCAGCACCACCCCCACCCCACCCCACCCCACCCCCCACGACACGCCACAACACCAACACCAACCGUCGCCGGCCACAUUUAAUCCCGCACCACCACCGCCGCCGCGCGCCCCGGCGACUGAUCCCCACGGACGCAGCGCGAUCCCGCCGGACGCCAGGCCGGACGAGGAGGAGGAGGGGGCGGACAGGUGGACACGCAGAUUGAGAAGGGGGACGGGGCGGGCAUCGCGAUGAUGGAGACCAAGCCGCCGUCGCCGGGGAGCGGGGGCGGAUCGGCGCCGGGGGUGCACCACCACAGGCGGUGGGCGGCGCCGCUGCUGGCGUCCGUGCUGCUCUCAUCGCUCCUCAUCUCGGCCUCCCUCUUCUUCUCCUCGUCGCGGGCGCUGCUCCUCUCCUUCUCCCCGCUCCCCUCCGCGGCCCCCGGGGAGCCGCUCUUCGUCGAGGCCAAGCUGCGGCAGCAGCAGCAGGAGGCGCGCGCCCGCCCGCACCGCGCCGUGCCCAGGAUCGCCUACCUCGUGUCCGGCUCCGCCGGGGACGGGGUCGCGCUGCGCCGGACGCUCAGGGCGCUCUACCACCCGGCCAACCGCUACGUCCUGCACCUCGACCUCGAGGCGCCCGCCGCCGAGCGCGCCGAGCUGGCCGCCGCCGUGCGCGCAGACCCCGUCUACUCCCGCUUCCGCAACGUCAAGGUCGUCACGCGCGCCAACCUCGUCACCUACCGGGGCCCGACCAUGGUGGCCAACACGCUGCACGCCGCCGCCAUCCUCCUGCGCGACGGCGGCGACUGGGACUGGUUCAUCAACCUCUCCGCCUCCGACUACCCCCUCGUCUCGCAGGACGAUCUGUUGUAUGUGCUCUCUGGCCUGCCAAGGGAGCUUAACUUCAUCGAGCAUACCAGUGACAUCGGAUGGAAGGAGUAUCAGAGGGCAAAGCCCGUGAUCGUCGACCCAGGCCUAUAUAGCCUGCAGAAGUCCGAUGUUUUCUGGAUCACAGAGAAAAGAAGUGUGCCGACCGCAUUCAAGCUCUUCACUGGCUCUGCAUGGAUGAUGCUUACUCAUCGGUUUAUUGAAUACUGCAUAUGGGGAUGGGACAAUCUUCCAAGGACAGUCCUGAUGUAUUAUGCCAAUUUUCUCUCUUCUCCGGAGGGUUACUUCCACACAGUCAUCUGCAAUGUCCCAGAGUUCCGCAACACCACAGUCAACCAUGACCUGCAUUUCAUUUCCUGGGAUAACCCACCAAAGCAGCAUCCUCAUUACCUCACCCUCAAUGACUUUGACGGUAUGCUUAGCAGCAAUGCUCCCUUUGCAAGGAAGUUUGGAAGAGAAGACCCUGUCCUAGACAAGAUUGAUCAGGAAAUACUGGGCCGUCAACCCGAUGGAUUCGUGCCCGGUGGAUGGUUGGAUCUGUUGAAUACAACAGUGAAAGGGAAACAGUUCAGCGUCGAGCGUGUACAAGAUCUCCGCCCGGGGCCUGGUGCGGACAGGAUAAAGAAACUCGUCACAGGCCUGCUCACCGAGGAAGGCUUUGAUGACAAGCAUUGCGUAUAAAAACUUGAUGGUUCGAGGGUAGGUUUCUUUUGUCAAAAUCUGAGCGGUUGAGCCACUAGCUAGUCAUUCUACUAGCUGAAGAAACGGCACACAGUGUCGACAGUCCGCACGGAUGGAGUGAUCUGAUAGGUGUUCCUUAUAGACAACCACUUCUGAGUUGAGUUACCGUACAGCAGGAUUCCACGACCGCCGUAGCAGGCAGAGAUUAUACACCACUAAUAGCUCAUUAGGUUAUGUUAGAAGAAUAUAUCAUAUUAAUAAUAUUGGAAUUUUCCGGUCUCUCAGCGCUGCGGGCUGUUGUCCAAGGUGGUCCAUUCUUCUUGUAGAAACCGUUUGGGCUCGAUCUACCUUAGGAAGGAGCCUACAAGUGCAUGAGAUUUCGUUGUAUUAAUUGUGGAUUCCUCCAGGCAAACUGCUACGUUUUGGUUGCGUACAUGUAUUCUUUGAUUAUUUUUCUUUCUCCCACGGCUGAGUAUACAAAAUUAUCUUAUGCACUGUUUCUUCUUAUUCUUUCUUUGGUAAAGAUGCAUACUCCAAAAUAUUUGUCGUGAUUUUAGUUCAAAUGUGAUAUGUGCUGUUGACAACUG